rnacentral:rRNA from 1 species
UACGUAGGUGGCGAGCGUUAUCCGGAAUCAUUGGGCGUAAAGAGGGAGCAGGCGGCCGCAAGGGUCUGUGGUGAAAGACCGAAGCUAAACUUCGGUAAGCCAUGGAAACCGGGCGGCUAGAGUACGGAAGAGGAUCGUGGAAUUCCAUGUGUAGCGGUGAAAUGCGUAGAUAUAUGGAGGAACACCAGUGGCGAAGGCGACGGUCUGGGCCGCAACUGACGCUCAUUCCCGAAAGCGUGGGGAGCAAAUAGG